rnacentral:rRNA from 1 species
GCUCAGGAUGAACGCUGGCGGCGUGCUUAACACAUGCAAGUCGAACGAUGAUGCCAGCUUGCUGGUGGAUUAGUGGCGAACGGGUGAGUAACACGUGAGUAACCUGCCCUUGACUCUGGGAUAAGCCUGGGAAACUGGGUCUAAUACCGGAUAUGACCUUCCAUCGCAUGGUGGUUGGUGGAAAGCUUUUGUGGUUUUGGAUGGACUCGCGGCCUAUCAGCUUGUUGGUGGGGUAAUGGCCUACCAAGGCGACGACGGGUAGCCGGCCUGAGAGGGUGACCGGCCACACUGGGACUGAGACACGGCCCAGACUCCUACGGGAGGCAGCAGUGGGGAAUAUUGCACAAUGGGCGCAAGCCUGAUGCAGCGACGCCGCGUGAGGGAUGACGGCCUUCGGGUUGUAAACCUCUUUCAGUAGGGAAGAAGCGUAAGUGACGGUACCUGCAGAAGAAGCGCCGGCUAACUACGUGCCAGCAGCCGCGGUAAUACGUAGGGCGCAAGCGUUAUCCGGAAUUAUUGGGCGUAAAGAGCUCGUAGGCGGUUUGUCGCGUCUGCCGUGAAAGUCCGGGGCUCAACUCCGGAUCUGCGGUGGGUACGGGCAGACUAGAGUGAUGUAGGGGAGACUGGAAUUCCUGGUGUAGCGGUGAAAUGCGCAGAUAUCAGGAGGAACACCGAUGGCGAA